rnacentral:rRNA from 1 species
ACGGAAGGCAGCAGUGAGGAAUAUUGGUCAAUGGGCGGGAGCCUGAACCAGCCAAGUAGCGUGAGGGAUGACGGCCCUAUGGGUUGUAAACCUCUUUUGACAGGGAAUAAAGUGAGCCACGUGUGGUUCAUUGCAUGUACCUGUGGAAUAAGGAUCGGCUAACUCCGUGCCAGCAGCCGCGGUAAUACGGAGGAUCCGAGCGUUAUCCGGAUUUAUUGGGUUUAAAGGGAGCGUAGGCGGGAUGUCAAGUCAGCUGUGAAAUGUAGUCGCUCAACGUCUGCACUGCAGUUGAAACUGGUGUUCUUGAGUGCGUAAGAGGCAGGUGGAAUUCGUCGUGUAGCGGUGAAAUGCAUAGAUAUGACGAAGAACACCGAUUGCGUAGGCAGCUGACCAGGCCGUAAAUGACGCUCAUGCACGAAAGUGCGGGGAUCGAACAGGAUUAGAUACCCUGGUA